GCGGCUGGCACAGCUUGCCGGUAGCGGGGUUGGGGGAGGUCCUGGCUCCGGGUUUUGGACGCGGGUCGGGGGAUGUUGCUGUGGGCUGGGUGUGGGCCGGCGGCUGCAGGCCGGUUGCGGACUCGCUGCCCGGAGACCGCACCCGAAGCCGGCGACUUUCCUCACCAACUGCGCAGCGCUGGCUCCGCUGUCCUCAGGCCGAGGAGGAAAAGGCCCGCUUUGCCUUUGCAGCCAACGCGGAACCCAGCAGAAACUGAUCGCCGAAAAAAGCAAAACGCAGUGUUUAAACCACGGUCCCAGGACCCCGCCGGACAGGGCCCAACUUCGAAUAUUUCUGAGCGUGGUUAGCAUCGAUUCAGAGUACUCGACUGGGCUAUGCUUUCUUGCUAUUAGGACCGAAGAAACCCCUGACCUCUGACUGCAGUUGAUGAGACCCGGCGUGACCCCAACUUACUACCCUACCAGCGUGCCUACUAUGCUAACUCUUGAUGUGUUCACACAUCCACUGUCACCCUUUUGUUCUCCCCAGUGAGCCACUGGUUUUUCCUUUUUCCUCUGCCUGGUAUUGACCUGUUCUUUGCAUGCCUGGCCCCUUAAAGUCUCAGACACUUCCUCCUCCCAGAAACCCACCCCCAGGGCUCAGACUGGAGUCCCACCAGCCAGUGUUCUCUCUGAUGUCAUCCUGUUCUUCCUCCCCUCUUUCAAGAUGAGUACCAAAUCCUUGGAAGAACAAGGAUCUCCUGCUUCUUGGUCACUUCUUUUCCUAGUCCCCUGACAGGUCUUAGGUUCCUCUCCCCUUUCCUUCCUUCAUUCCCCCUCCCCUCCAGAAGGAGCGCUGUUUCAUUCCCACAGCAGGAUUUGCAUAGUGAAACUGCGGGGUAUUUAAAAUCCUACCCUGAGAUCUGGGUGUGAUGUCACACACCUGUAAUCCCAGCACAUGGAAGACUGAGGCAGGAGGAUCCACUUCAGUUCAAGGCCAGCCCAGGAGACAUAAGGAGACACCGAGACACUGUAAAAAAAAAAAAAAAAAAAAAAAAGAAAGAAAGAAAAAGAAUUGCUACCUCCAAGCUCCAGUUUGAAGCCCCAUGAGUAAACAAAGACCUCUAAUAAUGACAACAAACCUGGGCCUAUUCCUUGCUGGGUCUUAGUGCUAUUCUAAGUUCUUCACAUGCUAUAGCUUCAUAAGAAGGCCUAGGAAGGGCAUUGUUAUCCUCAUUUCCCACACACAGCUUCAGCCUAAGGUCACAAAGAGCAAGGGUAGGGGGUUGCAUGGCAGAACUGAAUCUGAGCCUAGGCACUUGGACUUUGUCACCUUGAACACUGCUCUGCUGCACCGAAAUGUUUGUGCUUGUGUUUAGAAGUGACAGUCUAGACUCCGUAGCUGUAGCACAGUGGGUAAAGCCCCUCUCUUAAUCAAGGCCUGUUUGUUUUAUACUAAAAAUCUUCUGAUUUUGAUGAGAAAGCUGAAUGUCUACAGGGAAGGUCUUGUUUCUUGUCUGCUCCCAUG
rnacentral:lncRNA from 1 species